GACGAACGCUGGCGGCGUGCUUAACACAUGCAAGUCGAACGGUGAAAGCUGAGCUUGCUCCGCUGGAUCAGUGGCGAACGGGUGAGUAACACGUGGGCAACCUGCCCUUCACUUCGGGAUAACUCCGGGAAACCGGGGCUAAUACCGGAUAUGACCUCUGCGGCAUCCGCGGAGGUGGAAAGUUUUUCGGUGAAGGAUGGGCCCGCGGCCUAUCAGCUUGUUGGUGAGGUAGUGGCUCACCAAGGCGACGACGGGUAGCCGGCCUGAGAGGGCGACCGGCCACACUGGGACUGAGACACGGCCCAGACUCCUACGGGAGGCAGCAGUGGGGAAUAUUGCGCAAUGGGCGAAAGCCUGACGCAGCGACGCCGCGUGAGGGAUGACGGCCUUCGGGUUGUAAACCUCUUUCAGCUAUGACGAAGCGCAAGUGACGGUAGUAGCAGAAGAAGGACCGGCCAACUACGUGCCAGCAGCCGCCGUAA
rnacentral:rRNA from 1 species